ACGAACGCUGGCGGCGUGCUUCACCCAUGCCAGUCGCACGGAAAGGCCCUGCUUUUGUGGGGUGCUCGAGUGGCGAACGGGUGAGUAACACGUGAGUAACCUGCCCUUGACUUUGGGAUAACUUCAGGAAACUGGGGCUAAUACCGGAUAGGAGCUCCUGCUGCAUGGUGGGGGUUGGAAAGUUUCGACGGUUGGGGAUGGACUCGCGGCUUAUCAGCUUGUUGGUGGGGUAGUGGCUUACCAAGGCUUUGACGGGUAGCCGGCCUGAGAGGGUGACCGGCCACAUUGGGACUGAGAUACGGCCCAGACUCCUACGGGAGGCAGCAGUGGGGAAUAUUGCACAAUGGGCGGAAGCCUGAUGCAGCAACGCCGCGUGCGGGAUGACGGCCUUCGGGUUGUAAACCGCUUUCGCCUGUGACGAAGCGUGAGUGACGGUAAUGGGUAAAGAAGCACCGGCUAACUACGUG
rnacentral:rRNA from 1 species